rnacentral:rRNA from 1 species
GUGAGGAAUUUUCCGCAAUGGGCGAAAGCCUGACGGAGCAAUGCCGCGUGAAGGAUGAAGGCCUAUGGGUUGUAAACUUCUUUUCUUAGAGAAGAAUAUUGACGGUAUCUGAGGAAUAAGCAUCGGCUAACUCUGUGCCAGCAGCCGCGGUAAUACGUAGGGAGCAAGCGUUGUCCGGAUUUAUUGGGCGUAAAGAGCUCGUAGGCGGUUUCGUAAGUCGAGUGUGAAAAAUCUGGGCUUAACCCAGUGGAGCACUCGAUACUGCGAUGACUUGAGUCUGGUAGAGGAGUGUGGAAUUCCUGGUGUAGCGGUGAAAUGCGCAGAUAUCAGGAGGAACACCAACGGCGAAGGCAGCACUCUGGGCCAGUACUGACGCUGAGGAGCGAAAGCGUGGGGAGCAAACAGGAUUAGAUACCCGGGUAGUCC